CAGCCCCUCGAGUGGUGGGGAUGAUUAUUUGGCCUAAAGCGUCCGUAGCCGGCCGAGCAAGUCUUCCGUUAAAUCCAGCGUCUCAAGCGUUGGACUGCGGGAGAUACUGUACGGCUAGAGAGUGGGAGAGGUCAGCGGUAUUCUGGGGGUAGGGGCGAAAUCCUUUGAUCCCCGGAGGACCACCAGUGGCGAAGGCUGCUGACUAGAACACGUCUGACGGUCAGGGACGAAAGCUGGGGUAGCGAACCGGAUUAGAUACCCGAGUAGUCC
rnacentral:rRNA from 1 species